rnacentral:rRNA from 1 species
CUACGGGACGCUCCAGUUAGGAAUCUUCUACAAUGCGCGCAAGCGUGAUAGAGUGAGCCAGAGUGUUUUCCAAUUUGGAAGACUUUUAUGGAAUGUAAAAAGUUCCACGAAUAAGGACUGGGUAAGACUAGUGCCAGCCGCCGCGGUAAUACUAGCGGUCCAAGUCGCAGCCAUUUUUAUUGGGUCUAAAACAUCCGUAGCUUGUUUAAUAAGUUCUCUGUGAAAUCCUACAUCUUAAGUGUGGGGCGUGCAGAAAAUACUGUUAAGCUAGAGACUGGAAGACGUAAGAAGUAUGAUCAAAGUAGUGGUAAAAUACUUUAAUCUUGGUCAGACCCACAAUAGCGAAGGCAUCUUACGAGGACAGUUCUGACAGUAAAGGAUGAAGGCUAGGGGCGCAAAACGGAUUAGAUACCCGGGUAGUC